rnacentral:lncRNA from 1 species
AAAAGAACUUAACAAAAAGGCAGAGGGGCGCUGGGCAUCAAUGGAAAAGUAUAGAAGAAUCUCUUGGGCUUUUCUGAUGCUUGUGGACAGCUGAGUGUAAACUUCCUGGUGCUAAGUAUGUCUUCUCCCAAAUGGGAAACUCUUUGGGAGGAGGAUCUAUGGCAGCUCUAUUUUCAGGAAACUCUGCUUCAGGACCCACAGGAGCAGUAAUGGCUGUGACUCUGGGCCAUCUAAACAAGGCUCCUUGUUGCUUUGGCACUUGGCUCUGAUGCAAAAAACAAGAACAACAACAAAACAAAACAGGAAUGAAUGAAUGAGCCAAUGAACUGGUGUGGCACAGAAUUUGAGGAGGUUCUGCUGGACUAGAAAUCCUGGUUCCCAGUGGGACUACCCUUCUACCAAGGAACAUGGUAAGCUUAGAGAAAUCUCUGUCUCUGAUCCAGAAGAACCUCAAAACUCAGAAUGGAGGGAAGAACUGCAUGGGGGACUAUCAAGACUUGCUGAUCUUAAGGUAAGAGAAAAAAAAAAUUUGUCUCCAAUUCUUAGGCUCCUCUCCCUUGGAAAUACGCUGUGUCUUUUAGAGAUUACCCAACCAAUGGAGAGAGAGGAAUGUCGGGGAUAAAUAGUUGCCCUCUGAUGCGAGUCCAACAUUUCAUUUUCAUUUUCUAAAUCUUUCUCAGAAGUUUAAGAGUUGAUGCCAGUGUGAUUUGAUAAACUGGAACACAUGUUGAUUAGCUAUUGGAGGUAAAGGAGGAUUUGAGAUCAUAAAUAAUAUAAUCAGUACUGGGACCAUUGAAUGAGAAAGAG